UGACGAAAGCGCUGGUGAACACCUCUUCCCAUUCCGAACAGAGCAGUUAAGCCCAGUAGCGCCGAUGGUACUUCAGUAAAAUGCGGGAGAGUAGGUAGUUGCCAU
rnacentral:rRNA from 1 species